rnacentral:pre_miRNA from 1 species
UAUAAUACUUUGACUCUUCGUCUUAUUUAAAAUUUUUAUACGAUUAAUAUUUUUAUUGUAACUAGAUGAUAAAACAUGAAUAGUAAUUUAUACGUGACUAUUUUUUUUAAGUUUUUGUACAAUUUUUUUUUAAAUAAGACAAAUGGUCAAACUUUGGACAUAGAAA